UUGUAAAGCACUUUCAGUAGGGAGGAAGGUAGUGUAGUUAACACCUGCAUUAUUUGACGUUACCUACAGAAGAAGCACCGGCUAACUCCGUGCCAGCAGCCGCGGUAAUACGGAGGGUGCGAGCGUUAAUCGGAAUUACUGGGCGUAAAGCGCAUGCAGGCGGCCUGUUAAGUCAGAUGUGAAAGACCCGGGGCGUUAACCUCCGGAAUUGCAUUUGAAACUAGGCAGGCUAGAGUCUUGUAGAGGGGGGUAGGAAGUUUCAGGUGUAGCGGUGAAAUAGCGUAGAGAUCUGAAGGAAUACCAGUGGCGAAGGCGGCCCCCUCGGACAAAGACUGACGCUCAGAUGCGAAAGCGUGGGGAGCAAACAGGAUUAGAUACCCUGGUAG
rnacentral:rRNA from 1 species